GAUGAACGCUGGCGGCGUGCCUAAUACAUGCAAGUCGAGCGAAUGGAUUAAGAGCUUGCUCUUAUGAAGUUAGCGGCGGACGGGUGAGUAACACGUGGGUAACCUGCCCAUAAGACUGGGAUAACUCCGGGAAACCGGGGCUAAUACCGGAUAACAUUUUGAACCGCAUGGUUCGAAAUUGAAAGGCGGCUUCGGCUGUCACUUAUGGACGGACCCGCGUCGCAUUAGCUAGUUGGUGAGGUAACGGCUCACCAAGGCAACGAUGCGUAGCCGACCUGAGAGGGUGAUCGGCCACACUGGGACUGGGACACGGCCCAGACUCCUACGGGAGGCAGCAGUAGGGAAUCUUCCGCAUGGACGAAAGUCUGACGGAGCAACGCCGCGUGAGUGAUGAAGGCUUUCGGGUCGUAAAACUCUGUUGUUAGGGAAGAACAAGUGCUAGUUGAAUAAGCUGGCACCUUGACGGCACCUAACCAGGAAGCCACGGCUAACUACGUGCCAGCCGCCGCAGUAA
rnacentral:rRNA from 1 species